rnacentral:rRNA from 1 species
UACAGAGGUGGCAAGCGUUGUUCGGAAUUACUGGGCGUAAAGGGCGCGUAGGCGGUUCGUCAAGUCCUGUGUGAAAUCCCCCGGCUCAACUGGGGAACUGCACAGGAAACUAGCGGGCUUGAGUUCGGGAGAGGGAAGCGGAAUUCCGGGUGUAGCGGUGAAAUGCGCAGAUAUCGGGAAGAACACCUAUGGCGAAGGCAGCUCUCUGGGACGGUACUGACGCUGAGACGCGAAAGCGUGGGGAGCGAACAGG